rnacentral:rRNA from 1 species
AGCAGCCGCGGUAAUUCCAGCUCCAAUAGCGUAUAUUAAAGUUGUUGCAGUUAAAAAGCUCGUAGUUGAAUUUCGGGGUUAGCAGGUCGGUCGUGCCAUCGGUAUGAACUGGUCUCGCUGAUCCCUCCCUCUUGACGAACUGUGAUGCCAUUAAUUUGGUGUCGCAGGGAAUCAGGACUGUUACUUUGAAAAAUUAGAGUGUUUAAAGCAGGCUCACGCUUGAAUACAUUAGCAUGGAAUAAUGAAAUAGGACGUUUGAUCCUAUUUUGUUGGUUUCUAGGAUUGACGUAAUGAUUAAUAGGGAUAGUUGGGGGCAUUAGUAUUCAAUUGUCAGAGGUGAAAUUCUUGGAUUUAUUGAAGACUAACUACUGCGAAAGCAUUUGCCAAGGAUGUUUUCAUUAAUCAAGAACGAAAGUUAGGGGAUCGAAGACGAUCAGAUACCGUCGUAGUCUUAACCAUAAACUAUGCCGACUAGGGAUCGGAUGAUGUUAAUUUUUAAUGA